CUUCCUGCGCAUCCACCCCGACGGCCGAGUUGACGGGGUCCGGGAGAAGAGCGACCCUCACACAAGCUACAACUUCAAGCAGAAGAGAGAGGAGUUGUGUCUAUCAAAGGAGUGUGUGCUAACCGUUACCUGGCUAUGAAGGAAGAUGGAAGAUUACUGGCUUCUAAUGUGUUACGGAUGAGUGUUUCUUUUUUGAACGAUUGGAAUCUAAUAACUACAAUACUUACCGGUCAAGGAAAUACACCAGUUGGUAUGUGGCACUG
rnacentral:lncRNA from 1 species